rnacentral:pre_miRNA from 1 species
GAUUUCAACUGAAAAAGUCAUCAAUAACAAAGUUGUAUAACUUAUCAAGAUCUAUAACUUUUAUUUUAGUCAUUUCUUCAUCCGACAAAACGAUAGUAACAUUGUUUAUAAAAUUUACAUAUCUUGUACAUGGUUUCAUAAGCUAUAAGAGAGAUGCGCAAAUUUUAUGAACAAUAUCAUUAUCAUUUUAUCAAAUGAAGAAAUGGCCAAAAUAAAAGUUGUAGCUCUUGAUGAGUUCUACAAAUUUUAUGUUUAUAACUUUUUCAGCUGAAAUU